UACGAAGGGGGCUAGCGUUGCUCGGAAUCACUGGGCGUAAAGGGUGCGUUAGGCGGGUCUUUAAGUCAGAGGUGAAAUCCUGGAGCUCAACUCCAGAACUGCCUUUGAUACUGAGGAUCUUGAGUUCGGGAGAGGUGAGUGGAACUGGCGAGUGUAGAGGUGAAAUUCGUAGAUAUUCGCAAGAACACCAGUGGCGAAGGCGGCUCACUGGCCCGAUACUGACGCUGAGAGGCGAAACG
rnacentral:rRNA from 1 species